UAAAUUUCCUCUACAUAAUUUGAGGGAAACAGUCCUCGGUGACCAUGACACUCACCUUCCCACCAAUUGGGAUCAACACAGUCCACAUUGGCGAUAAUUUCGUCUUCAAAAAAGCUGAGCUCGUUAUCUUCUUGAGCCUGAUAAUCAUAAAUUGCCUUCACAGACUUACCAGGACCCCCUGCUUGUGGCUCGGCAGGAGGAUUAUUGGCAGUCUCAUUAGGUCCAGUUAUUUCAACGUAGUUAGAAGGAAAUAAACCUUGUUGACCUUUAGAAUUUUCUCCUAACCACCAUCCAUCAUCGACAAAUUCCAAAAUCUGAAUCUGCUCAUUUUCUACUAACUCGAUUUCGUUUUCUUCCUCAGGAGAAUAAUCAUAUAUAACUAUGGCCGGAGUCUUUGUAGGUUGUGUAUGCUCUGUAGCUUUGACAUCUCCACCGACUUGAGGUUCUUGAGUUUCGUCAUGCGGUGGGAGAGGAGGAACCACGGGCUCAUUAAGUUGUCCAGCUUCUGGUACAACAGGAACAGCGGGGGGUUGAGGAACUGAAGGAACCUCAGGUACAACGGGGGCAGCAGGUGGUUGAGGGACCGAAGGUGCUUCAGGUACAACGGGAACAGCAGGCCUCUGAGGGACCGAAGGAACUUCAGGUACAACAGGAGCAGCAGGUGGUUGGGGGACCGAAGGGGCUUCUGGUACAACGGGAACAGCAGGCCUCUGAGGAACUGAAGGAACUUCAGGUGCAACAGGAGCAACAGGUGGUUGAGGAACUGAAGGAGCUUCAGGUACAACAGGAGCAACAGGUGGUUGAGGAACUGAAGGAACUUCAGGUGCAACAGGAGCAACAGGUGGUUGGGGGACCGAAAGGGCUUCUGGUACAACGGGAACAGCAGGCCUCUGAGGAACUGAAGGAGCUUCUGGUACAACUGGAGCAGCAGGCCUCUGAGGGGCCGAAGGAACUUCAGGUGCAACUGGAGCAGCAGGCGGUUGGUGGACCGAAGGAGCUUCUGGUACAACUGGAGCAGCAGGCGGUUGAGGAACCGAAGGAGUAAUGACUGAUGGUUGCGCCGCUUUUUGUGAAGCAGAUGAGAUAUCCCUUUCUGGAAAAACCUUUGGCAUUGCUGGAGGUGGAUUUAACGAAAGACUUUCGCCAGAUGUCGGUUUUUCAGGAGCGCUUAUGGGAUUGGGAUUAUUUGUAAAAGGUCGAGGUUUGGCAAAAGAAGUUCCUGCCUUCGAAUUAAAGCUCGAUAUUUUAGCAGCCGUCUUGGGAAAUGUAGGAGGAUCGUUAUUUUCACUAACAUUUGCUUUUGCGAAACGAGCUCGAAGCGCUGCAACGCUUUCACGUGGCUCUUCCUGUGCUGAAGUUUCAUUGGAUGAAACCUGUUUAUUUAUAGGUUUGGCGGUUUCUUGUUUGUCGACAGGUACCGUUGAUGGGGAAUCUUGUUUGCUGGCAGUAGUUGAAGCAGGAGGAAAACUUGUGCGAACAGGACUUUUAAGAUGAUGUGAUACUGGGUUUUCAACAUUCUUAGUUGAGGAUUCUUUCUUUUCGAACAAAGCACGUCUAGCAGAUAAAUUCACAUUACCAGCGGUAUGCAGCUCUUCUAAUUCAGAGACAGGUUUUUUUGAGGGAGAACCAGAAGGUGGUUGAGGUUCGAGUUUAGUCAAAGGAGUAAGUUUAAAAUGAUCCGGAGUAGUUGGAGCGUGACUGGAUUCUGCAGAGCGAUAGCUUGAGCCAGUAGUUGUAGUUGAAAUAGAAGGCUUCGGGUGUUCGCUAGGCUGAACAGAGAUUUGCUUAGCUGGCCCAUGAGAUUCAAAAGGAGUAGGCUUUGAUGGCCCACCAGACCCAAAAGGAGUGGGUUUAGGCUUAUUUUCUUGAGAUUUUUCUUUACGACCGGCAUCCGACCACGAUGCAUUUACAGGGACACGUAAGUUUGAAGUAGUAUUUGCAGUCUGGGUAUUGCUUUGCUUAGACGAAUCGUCCCAACUAUUGUCCUUUGAGUCUUUCUGCGCUUGCACCACUGGCUUUGAAAUAUUGGCCAAAGGGGUUUUGGUAGAAGGAGCUGGUGCAGGGGCAACCUUGGCAGUACUUCCAAAAGUCUGGCUAGCAUCGUAAAAUGCGUUAUGCUUUGAUUGAGGAGUUGAAUUAGAAGUAUGAACGGAGUAUUUACUACCACUAGCAUCUGCUACUCGACGAAUAAUAUCAUCCAUAUUUAGAUCAGACGACUCACGUCCCGUUAUUUGAACAUGAUAACCUUUCAAAAGAUUGGAAACCGUAGCCAUAUGUAUAGAGAACAAACCUUUACGGGCUGCUGCUUCACCACACCAACAUACCAAAACAAAUUUAUUUAAUCCAGUGUUGACAUCCUUCACACGUAGAAACCCAAACAGCACAGCGUUUUCAUCAAAUUCAUCAAGAAAUUCAUCAUUGUCGUCUUAAAAUUAUAAAGUUAGAAAAAUCGUCAUCAAAAUAAAUAAAACUAUUGUAAAAACACCGUACUUCCAGAAGCCACCACUUUUAAGAUAUUUCCUUGUCCUUUUUCAUAUCCAAAAAUGGCCCAAGAGCAAUCAUCAGCACCGCUGAGUACUUUUUCAUAAACGUUUCUAAUCUCAGCUCCAUGCGUGCUCGUAUCUAGUUGAAAUGACAUUUUGGGCGGGAAUGGUAAAUGGAAGGAAUUGCGCUGUACAAUAUGCUUCCGUCAUUGUGUUCCUCAUUCAUGGUACUAUGUGCUAUUAUCAUAUUAGUAAAAGUGGAAAUCUUGUUUAUGAAUAAGCAAUUGUAAUACUCUAGUGUUUUAAUAAUAUUAUGGAUUUCGGA